GGAAGGUGAGGAUGACGUCAAGUCCGCAUGGCCUUUAUGUCCAGGGCUACACACGUGCUACAAUGGCCGGUACAGAGAGCAGCAAUACCGUGAGGUGGAGCAAAUCUCAAAAAGCCGGUCUCAGUUCGGAUUGUAGUCUGCAACUCGACUACAUGAAGCCGGAAUUGCUAGUAAUGGCGUGUCAGCAAUAACGCCGUGAAUACGUUCCCGGGCCUUGUA
rnacentral:rRNA from 1 species